AACGAACGCUGGCGGCAUGCCUAACACAUGCAAGUCGAACGAGACCUUCGGGUCUAUUGGCGCACGGGUGCGUAACGCGUGGGAACCUGCCCUUAGGUUCGGAAUAACUCCCCGAAAGGGGUGCUAAUACCGGAUAAUGUCUUCGGACCAAAGAUUUAUCGCCUUUGGAUGGGCCCGCGUUGGAUUAGCUAGUAGGUAGGGUAAAAGCCUACCAAGGCGACGAUCCAUAGCUGGUCUGAGAGGAUGAUCAGCCACACUGGGACUGAGACACGGCCCAGAAUCCUACGGGAGGCAGCAGUGGGGAAUAUUGGACCAUGGGGGAAGGCCUGAUCCAGCAAUGCCGCGUGAGUGAUGAAGGCCUUAGGGUUGUAAAGCUCUUUUACCCGGGAUGAUAAUGACAGUACCGGGAGAAUAAGCUCCGGCUAACUACGUG
rnacentral:rRNA from 1 species